CAGUCGCCGCGGGAACACGUAGGGUGCGAGCGUUAAUCGGAAUUACUGGGCGUAAAGCGUGCGCAGGCGGUUCGUUAAGACAGAUGUGAAAUCCCCGGGCUUAACCUGGGAACUGCAUUUGUGACUGACGGGCUAGAGUAUGGCAGAGGGGGGUAGAAUUCCACGUGUAGCAGUGAAAUGCGUAGAGAUGUGGAGGAAUACCGAUGGCGAAGGCAGCCCCCUGGGCCAAUACUGACGCUCAUGCACGAAAGCGUGGGGAGCAAACAGGAUUAGAUACCCCCGUAGUCCCUGUCUCUUAUAC
rnacentral:rRNA from 1 species